GUUGUCCCUAGAGACACUGCAGGUGUGGCUUGUGUGCCACAUGUACAUCCGUAGGAGGCAGAGAGGAGGGUGGGAGAGCUGGCUCUGGGAUCACUGUAGCAGGAGAGCUGGCCUCGCCCCCUCACC
ensembl:snoRNA small nucleolar RNA SNORA17